rnacentral:rRNA from 1 species
UACGAAGGGUGCAAGCGUUAAUCGGAAUUACUGGGCGUAAAGCGUGCGUAGGCGGUUUGUUAAGUCUGUUGUGAAAUCCCCAGGCUCAACUUGGGAACUGCGUCCGAUACUGGAUGGCUUGAAUUCGGGAGAGGGAUGCAGAAGUUCCAGGUGUUAGGCGGUGAAAUGCGUAGAUAUCUGGAGGAAUACCGGUGGCGAAGGCGGCAUCCUGGACCGAGAUUGACACUGAUGAGCGAAAGCCAGGGGAGCAAACGGG